CCUACGGGAGGCUGCAGUGAGGAAUAUUGGUCAAUGGGCGCGAGCCUGAACCAGCCAAGUAGCGUGAAGGAUGACUGCCCUACGGGUUGUAAACUUCUUUUAUAAAGGAAUAAAGUGAGGCACGUGUGCCUUUUUGUAUGUACUUUAUGAAUAAGGAUCGGCUAACUCCGUGCCAGCAGCCGCGGUAAUACGGAGGAACCGAGCGUUAUCCGGAUUUCUUGGGUUUAAAGGGAGCGUAGAUGGGUUGUUAAGUCAGUUGUGAAAGUUUGCGGCUCAACCGUAAAAUUGCAAUUGAUACUGGCAGUCUUGAGUACAGGAGAGGUAGGCGGAAUUCGUGGUGUAGCGGUGAAAUGCUUAGAUAUCACGAAGAACCCCGAUUGCGAAGGCAGCUUACUAAACUGUGACUGACAUUGAUGCUCGAAAGUGUGGGUAUCAAACAGGAUUAGAUACCCUUGUAGUC
rnacentral:rRNA from 1 species